rnacentral:rRNA from 1 species
AGUGAACGCUGGCGGUAGGCCUAACACAUGCAAGUCGAACGGCAGCACAGUAAGAGCUUGCUCUUACGGGUGGCGAGUGGCGGACGGGUGAGGAAUACAUCGGAAUCUACUUUUUCGUGGGGGAUAACGUAGGGAAACUUACGCUAAUACCGCAUACGACCUACGGGUGAAAGCAGGGGAUCUUCGGACCUUGCGCGAUUGAAUGAGCCGAUGUCGGAUUAGCUAGUUGGCGGGGUAAAGGCCCACCAAGGCGACGAUCCGUAGCUGGUCUGAGAGGAUGAGAGGAGAAACGGGAAAUUAGACAAGGUCAAGAGGACUAAGGGAGGCAGCAGUAGGGAAUGGGGAGAAAUGGGGGAAAGUAUGAAGGAGAAAGGGCGCGAGAGGGAAGAAGGUAUUCGGAUCGGAAAACUGUGUUAUUAGGGAAGAACAAAAGGGUAAGCAAAUAUGCACGUAGUGACGGUACAUAAUCAGAAAGACACGGCUAACUGCGUG